rnacentral:rRNA from 1 species
GAUCCUGGCUCAGGAUGAACGCUAGCUACAGGCUUAACACAUGCAAGUCGAGGGGCAUCAGGAAGAAAGCUUGCUUUCUUUGCUGGCGACCGGCGCACGGGUGAGUAACACGUAUCCAACCUGCCCUUUACUCGGGGAUAGCCUUUCGGAAGAAAGAUUAAUACCCGAUAGCAUAAUGAUUCCGCAUGGUUUCAUUAUUAAAGGAUUCCGGUAAAGGAUGGGGAUGCGUUCCAUUAGGUUGUUGGUGAGG